GUGCUGCUUCAUCAGCACAUAUAUUAAAAUUGAAAUGAUACAGAGAAGAUUAGCAUGGCCCCUGCACAAGGAUGACUUGUAAAUUAAUGAACUGUUAUAUAAAAAA
ensembl:snRNA U6 U6 spliceosomal RNA